ensembl:misc_RNA Metazoa_SRP Metazoan signal recognition particle RNA
GCUGGGUGUGAUGGUGCACGCCUGUAAUCCCAGCUACUUGGGAGGCUGAGGCAGGAGAAUCGCUUGAGCCCAGGAGGUGGAGGUUGCAGUGAACUGAGAUUGUGCCACUGCACUUCAGCCUGGGCGACAGAGUGAGACUCUGUCUCAA